rnacentral:tRNA from 1 species
GGGUAUAUAGCUCAGUGGUAGAGUGCAUGCCUAGCAUGCACGAGGUCCUGGGUUCAAUCCCUUGUACUUCCA